rnacentral:rRNA from 1 species
GAUGAACGCUGGCGGCGUGCCUAAUACAUGCAAGUCGAGCGAAUGGAUUAAGAGCUUGCUCUAUGAAGUUAGCGGCGGACGGGUGAGUAACACGUGGGUAACCUGCCCAUAAGACUGGGAUAACUCCGGGAAACCGGGGCUAAUACCGGAUAACAUUUUGAACCGCAUGGUUCGAAAUUGAAAGGCGGCUUCGGCUGUCACUUAUGGAUGGACCCGCGUCGCAUUAGCUAGUUGGUGAGGUAACGGCUCACCAAGGCAACGAUGCGUAGCCGACCUGCGCGGGUGAUCGACCACACUGGGACGGAGACACGGCCCAGGUUCCUACGAGAGGCAGCAGUAGGGAAUCUUCCGCAAUCGACGAGAGUCUGACGGAGCAACGCCGCGUGAGUGGUGAAGGCUUUCGGGUCGUAAAACUCUGUUGUUAGGGAAGAACAAGUGCUAGUUGAAUAAGCUGGCACCUUGACGGUACCUAACCAGAAAGCCACGGCUAACUACGUGCCAGCCGCCGCGGUAA